UGUGAUUCCACCGUCUGGUUCGUUCAAUAAACGCUCAAGGGACUGUAUUUUAUGAUUUUAUUGAUUGUAUUAUGUAAGAGAAAGUAUUUACAACACGAGUUUUAGACCGUUAAACGUUCCGAUUGUCUCGCUACGAUCUGACAGCAACAAUGACGUUCAAUCACUCCCUAUAUAGCUAUUUGAUUACCCUACCAAAUUACAAUGUGUCACAGUGACGUAUCACUUUAAACAUACAAAAACUUAUUUACGAUUUAGUUUGAAUUACGUCAAUCACAAUAUUGAUAUAUUACAUGAAGUAUUUUUACAGUUGAAUGAACUGGCGGCGCUGCGCUGGGAAUUAACCUACUAGUGAUGGGCGAUACCAGGAUUUUUAAUUCGAUACCGAUACCGAUACUUUUAAGAUCGGUAUCGGCCGAUACCGAUACCUAUUUCGAUACCAAAAUGAACACAAAAU